rnacentral:rRNA from 1 species
UCUGUUUGAUCCUGGCUCAGGAUGAACGCUAGCGGCAGGCUUCAUACAUGCAAGUCGAGGGGCAGCAUAAAUUACUUGUAAUUUGAUGGCGACCGGCGAACGGGUGCGUAACGCGUAUGCAACCUACCUUUUACUAGAGAAUAGCCAAGAGAAAUUUUGAUUAAUGCUCUAUACACUUUAAGACUCUCAUGAGUCUAAAAGAAAAGCUCCGGCGGUAAAAGAUGGGCAUGCGUUCUAUUAGCUUGUAGGUGAGGUAACGGCUCACCUAAGCUCCGAUAGAUAGGGGUCCUGAGAGGGAGACCCCCCACACUGGUACUGAGACACGGACCAGACUUCUACGGAAGGCAGCAGUAAGGAAUAUUGGACAAUGGAGGCAACUCUGAUCCAGCCAUGCCGCGUGAAGGAAGAAGGCCCUAUGGGUCGUAAACUUCUUUUAUACAGGAAGAAAUCUUUCCACGUGUGGAAAGUUGACGGUACUGUAAGAAUAAGGAUCGGCUAACUCCGUGCCAGCAGCCGCGGUAAUACGGAGGAUCCAAGCGUUAUCCGGAAUUAUUGGGUUUAAAGGGUCCGCAGGCUGUUUGUUAAGUUAGAGGUGAAAUCCUACCGCUCAACGGUAGAACUGCCUUUAAUACUGGCAAACUUGAGUUAUUGUGAAGUAAUUAGAAUGUGUAGUGUAGCGGUGAAAUGCAUAGAUAUUACACAGAAUACCGAUUGCGAAGGCAGAUUACUAACAAUAUACUGACGCUGAGGGACGAAAGCGUGGGUAGCGAACAGGAUUAGAUACCCUGGUAGUCCACGCCGUAAACGAUGGUCACUAGCUGUUCGAUGUACAUUGGUACAUUGAGUGGCUAAGCGAAAGUGAUAAGUGACCCACCUGGGGAGUACGCUCGCAAGAGUGAAACUCAAAGGAAUUGACGGGGGCCCGCACAAGCGGU